GACGGAGGAUGCAAGGGUUAUCCGGAAUCACUGGGCGUAAAGAGCUCGUAGGUGGUUUGUCGCGUUGUUCGUGAAAACUCACAGCUUAACUGUGGGCGUGCGGGCGAUACGGGCAGACUGGAGUACUGCAGGGGAGACUGGAAUUCCUGGUGUAGCGGUGGAAUGCGCAGAUAUCAGGAGGAACACCGGUGGCGAAGGCGGGUCUCUGGGCAGUAACUGACGCUGAGGAGCGAAAGCGUGGGGAGCGAACAGG
rnacentral:rRNA from 1 species